rnacentral:rRNA from 1 species
AUUGAACGCUGGCGGCAGGCCUAACACAUGCAAGUCGAACGAGUGGCGGACGGGUGAGUAAUGUCUGGGAAACUGCCCGAUGGAGGGGGAUAACUACUGGAAACGGUAGCUAAUACCGCAUACCAUCGGAUGUGCCCAGAUGGGAUUAGCUAGUGGGUGGGGUAACGGCGCACCUAGGCGACGAUCCCUAGCUGGUCGGAGAGGAGGACCAGCCACACUGGAACGGAGACACGGUCCAGAAUCCUACGGGAGGGAGCAGUGGGGAAUAGUGCACAAUGGGCGAAAGCAUGAUGCAGCAAUGCCGCGUGAAUGAAGAAGGCCUUCGGGUUGUAAAGUACUUUCAUCGAGGAGGCGUUACUCGCAGAAGAAGCACCGGCUAACUCCGUGCCAGCAGCCGCGGUAAUUC